rnacentral:lncRNA from 1 species
AAAUCAGAUAUCCCUCUUCUCUCUGCUAUCUUAUCCCCUUGGCUGACUGAAAGUGAGGUUACCCUGUUUUCCCACAGCUUUUUUCUGGAACUGCUACCCAGUCUUUUUUUUUUUUUUUUUUUUUUUUUGUAGCACUUGUUAAUCGAUGACACUUGUACUCGUGACACCUCUCUGCUCAUUGCAUGUCUUCUCAUUCUCUGUUGCUAGAGCACCCUCAUGGCCUCUUGUGUUCCCCUGCAGCAAGCUGUGUCAUAUAGCUGGAGUCUCAAAUUCAUUCUGUGUGCUUUGCCUGCUGGAGAGUCUGGAGCCAUGGAACAGCAGGUCUUAUGGACAACACCACUUAUGCUGAGAAAGGGCUAUGACAGUUCUACAGAGGACCUGAUGCUUGCUAAAUUACCUAACUGUGGCACUCAGAGGAAUUUGUUCAAGCACUGACUUUUUCAGGAGAUAUGAUGCAGACUCUUCAAUGUCUGAGAGGACACAGCUGGAGGCAUUUCACUGGCUUUCUUGCUAUCUGAGUUACUAGACUCUUGCACACAUAUUUGCUAUCGCAAGCUGAGUUUAUUCUUGGAUAAAGACAGAGACUGAAGAAUAUGAACAUUUUGGUAAACCAGAAGUUUUUGUUCUUAUGAUAUUCAAUUUCAAAAGCUUUUGACUUUCUCCAUUACUCAUUCAGCAUUUGCUCAACAGUCCAUCCGCUUUCUUUGGUUUACUGAUUGCUAAUCUGUGGAACCUGGUGCUUUUCCCAGUUAAUGCUUUUCACUGUUUCAACCUGAACAAUUAUCUACCUUUCACCUAGGUGUGGGAUGGAGUAGGGCUCAUGCUGGUCAAGUGCUAUGCCCAACCUUUUACCAACUGACUCUAAAUCUAAGCUCCUAUGAUGAUACCCAAACCUGUAACCAAGAAACUUCAACUUUCCACUGUGGGACACUAUAAACAAGUUCUUACCUAGACAGUGGGAUUCCCAGCAUUAUCUCCACCACAGAAAAUACAGAACAAAAAUAGAGAAGGUGGAAGGCUGAGCAUAAGGAAGUCUGCUGAUGUCGUGGAAUAACAUGAGCUAGAAAGAGAACGCAGCAUCGCAGCUAAGCUGUACUGUAAUUUCCUACAGACUGUAUCUGCUCUAAAAUCACUGCAGCUAUUUUCCCAUGGGAGGUGGGGAGUGAAAAUUAUUCCAGUAGUUCCAGAAUUAGAUUUCUCAAAGGGAGAAAGGAGUGGGGAGAAACACAAACUGCUGUGGUUAUAUUGGAUGCUGAUUUAAUUUACAUUUGUGGUGAUUGGAUUGCAGUAAUUUCCCUAGGGAGAAGCUCCUGACAUAAUAAUUUCAAUAGAGAAAUUCGGCAAUGGUGAGCUGAGAACUUCCUGAAACAGGAUGGUCUGCAGGAGAAAAUCUCUUUUUAAAGGCAUGUGGGUUCAGCCAAAUUGAAUAGAACUU